rnacentral:rRNA from 1 species
GACGAACGCUGGCGGCGUGCUUAACACAUGCAAGUCGAACGGAACGGCCCUGCUUUUGUGGGCUGCUCUGCUGGCGACCGGGUGAGUAACCCUUAAGUACCCUGCCCUUGCCUUUGGGGUGACUUCAGGCAACUGGGUCUCAUACCGGAUAAGAGCUCCCGCUUCAUGGUGGGGGUGGGAAGGUUUCGGUGGUUGGGGAUGGACUCGCGGCGUAUCAGUUUGGUGCUUGGGUAGUGGCUUACCAAGGCUUUGCAGGGUAGCCGGGCUGAGAGGGGCACAGGCCCAGUUGGGAUUGAGAUACGGCACAGACUCGUACGGGAGGCAGCGGUGGGGAAUAGUGUACAAUGGGCGGAAGGCUGAUGCAGCAACGCAGCGUGGGGGAUGAGGGGCAUCGGGUUGUAAACCGCUGUCGUCUGUGACGAGGCGUGAGUGACGGUAAUGGGUAAAGAAGCACCGGCUAACUACGUG